UGCUUUCUUGAUUUUGAAGUUAUAGAAAUUAUCUAAUUUACUCCUCCUAAGGCAGACAAGGGUUUUGCUUGCUCAGUGUCCUCUGUGCCCAUCACUGCCACAUCCUGAAACUCCGUCAAACCUGCGAAACACUUCUCAGUCAAGUCAAGAACAUUAAUACCUGAUCUACUGUUUUCCUUGGGGACUUCUCUAUGAAGCCUGUCACUGGCUCCAGUGUGGACUGGGUUCCCCUUGGCCAGCUGCAUAGCAGGCAUAAUGGGCCUUCUUUUCUUUGUCGUCUCUCUCUCCUCCUGGGAACCCUCUGUUUCCUGGAUCUCAGGCUUUUUCAUUGAUUCUCUUAUCUGCGCCUAUGCACUGAGCGAGAGGCCGUGGGCAAUGAAUAUGUUGACAUCUUGCACAUCUGAGAAUAUUGUUAUUCCACCCUCAGACUUGAUUUAUAGUUGAGUUGAGAACAUAAUUCCAGUUAGAAUUCAUUUCCUCAGGACUAUGAAGCAUUUCUCUAUUGUCUUCUACCUGCCAGUAUUGCCACUCAGAAGCUUGAUGCCUUUAUAAUUCCUGAGCAUACGUGACCUGCUGCUUUUUCAUGUCAGGAAGCUCUUAGAAUCCUCUCUUUAGUGCUAGUGUUCUGCAUUUUCUUGAUGAUACGCUUUGGUAUGGUCUUUUUUCCUCUUUCUGCUAGAUAGGAAGUGGGCCCUAUUAAUCUGGAAAUUUAUGGCCUUCAAUUAAUGGAAAUUACUUGUUCUUUGGGAUAUUGAAUGGAAAAUGUUUAAAAUUCCAGAUUCCAACUACAAUCUUUCGGAACCUAAUCUCAGGAGUGGCAUUCCAUCUAUUGGUCAUAUUCUAUUUGUUGAGGCUCGUCAGUAAACUCAACUGGAGGGGAGGAGAUUACACCAGCAUGUGAGUACCAAGAAGGGGACCAUCCGGAGCCAUCUUGGAGGCUGCCUACCACACCUUACUUAAAAACAGACAAGAGUCAGAAUCUCUUCACUUCAUCUGCUUUUCAUGAGAGUGAAACAGUGUUACCUGUAGCAAUACAGGGCCUCAGUCUGAUGUCGAAGAUUUUCCUGAGAUCUCCUACAGACAGAAGGAAUAUGGAAGACUUUUUUCCCCAGAACAGCAACUACAAUAAUUCUAUAAGAUGAUCUUAUCCUGCUAAGAGUAUUAACAAGAAAAAUCACUAAUAGGAAAAUUAAGAGACAUUCAUUACAAAAGUGAUUACUCAAACUCAAAUACAGUUAUCUCAUUUCUCAAAGAAAAGUCUAAAAACCCAGAGAAUUAAAAUCGGAGUUUUUGAGGCAGUUUCCAUAACUCUAUCAUUUCCAGCAGGGAGAAAAAUCAGGAGGAGACAGAAUACAAAGACACCUCCUGCACAGAUGUUCCCUGGCUUAAAGAGGAUGAGUCUUGAAAGGCUUGACUGAAAUUUGAGCAGAAGUUGCAUGUUUUUAUGAGACAAGUAAAUCACACUCCCAGAAUAGUCGGAAGGGGUGGGGUUCACUGAUGUCUUGGCUCAGCUGGCCGCUAUCUGGGCACUUAAGAAGGAAGUAAAUCAUUUAAUAGGAAGCUCUGAAGCCACCUUUAUGGAUGCUGCUGCUGGACAACUGUGGAUUCCAUUAGCCAACUUGCCACAUUGGAAGAAGAGACUAGAAUCAGAAAUUUGUGAAAACUUUCCAAUGCUGGAGGAAGUGUUUCAGCAGUUGAAAAUAAUAAAAUCUAUAGUCAAUUUGUCAGAAGUCUGCAGAUACUCAGAACUACUACAAAAGUCUCCUGAAAAAUACUUCUGUUGAAAUGGGAAAAUGAAUUCAUAAUUCUUUUCUUGCAAGUUUCAUCAUAGCACCAAUGAUGAAAGUUCUGGAAAGAUACCCUCAUUAAUUUGAGGACAAGAGAAAUAAAAUCAUGAAUUCAACCCCUAAAGAAAGAAUCUGGGAAAUAUCUAGUGUUUCAUAAGACAAACUAUCUUCACAUAACAAAGAGCAUAAUGAAACAUAAUGAAAAUUAAUAUUCAGUUCGCCUCUUACUCCUUUACGUGUCAGGGUUUUCAGCACUUAUUCCUAUGAAAAUAAAAGUCAAAAUCAAAUGGAAAUCAAAGAUGUCUGCAUAUUGCUACUUCAAUA